AGAGCUUGAUCCUGGCUCAGAAUGAACGCUGGCGGCGUGCUUAACACAUGCAAGUCGAACGAGAAAGUUCCUUCGGGAACGAGUAAAGUGGCGAACGGGUGAGUAACGCGUGAGAAUCUGCCUCUUAGUGAAGUAUACCUUCGAGAAAUCGGAGUUAAUGCUGCAUAAGUCCCUUCGGGGAGAAAGACGGCCUCUUGCCGUCGCUGAGAGAUGAGCUCGCGUACUAUUAGCUUGUUGGUAGGGUAAAAGCCUACCAAGGCAGAGAUGGUUAGCCGACCUGAGAGGGUGACCGGUCACAUUGGGACUGAGAUACGGCCCAGACUCCUACGGGAGGCAGCAGUGAGGAAUAUUGCACAAUGGGCGAAAGCCUGAUGCAGCGACGCCGCGUGGAGGAUGACGGCCUUCGGGUUGUAAACUCCUGUUAAGUGGGAAGAAAUGCUUGCGAGUAAUAUGCGCAAGUUCUGACGGUACCACUAGAGAAAGCUCCGGCUAACUUCGUGCCAGCAGCCGCGGUAAUACGAGGGGAGCAAGCGUUAUUCGGAAUUACUGGGCGUAAAGGGCGUGUAGGCGGCUAAUUAAGUCGGUUGUUAAAUUUCUCGGCCUAACUGAGAACAUGCGAUCGAUACUGGUUGGCUAGAGUGCAGAAGAGAGAAGUGGAAUUAUCGGAGUAGCGGUAAAAUGCGCAGAUCUCGAUAGGAACACCGAUUGCGAAGGCAGCUUCUUGGUCUGUUACUGACGCUAAAGCGCGAAAGCGUGGGGAGCAAACAGGAUUAGAUACCCUGGUAGUCCACGCCGUAAACGAUGAUCACUAGAUGUGGGUUUUGCUUAGCAAAAUCCGUGUUGUAGCUAACGCGUUAAGUGAUCCGCCUGGGGAUUACGGUCGCAAGACUAAAACUUAAAGGAAUUGACGGGGGUCCGCACAAGCGGUGGAACAUGUGGUUUAAUUCGACACUACGCGAGGAACCUUACCUAGGCUUGACAUGUACUUGCCCGCUGUAGAAAUACAGUUUUUCGAGUUUACUCGGACGAGUACACAGGUGCUGCAUGGCUGUCGUCAGCUCGUGUCGUGAGGUGUUGGGUUAAGUCCUCUAACGAGCGCAACCCCUGCCCCCAGUUGCUACUUUACUUGUUAAAGGCACUCUGGUGGGACUGACUAGGAAACUAGUAGGAAGGUGGGGAUGACGUCAAGUCCUCAUGGCCCUUAUGUCUAGGGCUACACACGUGUUACAAUGGCUAGUACAAAGGGAAGCAAGCCUGCGAAGGCAAGCAAAUCCCAAAAAGCUAGUCUAAGUUCGGAUUGGAGUCUGCAAUUCGACUCCAUGAAGUUGAAAUCGCUAGUAAUCGCGUAUCAGAUCGACGCGGUGAAUACGUUCUCGGACCUUGUACACACCGCCCGUCAAACCACGAAAAUCGUCUAUACCAGAAAUCGCCUUAGCUAACCUCUUUGAGGAGGCGGGUGCUGAAGGUAUGGGGGAUGAUUGGGGUUAAGUCGUAACAAGGUA
rnacentral:rRNA from 1 species